UCUCUCCUCUUUCCAUACUCCAUUUCAUCUCCAUCUUCCACACAUAUUCUUUUUUUAUUAUUCAUCUUCAUCCUCCGUUGCCUUCGUCUCUCUCAAUUGUUUUAGCUCCUCUAUCUUUUCUCUCUCCUUGGCCUUGAAAUCCUAUCAAUAAUCGUAACUAUCAGCAAACCCUAAUUAUGUAAUUUCGGGAUUUUAAUUGAGGCUUUUCAUAUAUAAGAAGAAUCACAAUGUCUAUCUCAGGCUAUAUCUUCCAUAGCCAGUAACGCCAACAACAACAAAACAUCAAGAUAACUCUUUAAUGGAAAUGUUCAGGAAAAUGCUUCCCAGGAUAACUUAACUUUCAACUAUGACAUCUUUGACGGCACCGGCACAAUUUCAGUACACCACAUUCACUUUGGACUAUGAAAAGCUAUUAAAGAUGCUUGCUAAAGAUCUACUUCAUAUCAAACAUACCGUGAUGAAAAAUAAAUCAUGGUCGUGAAAGAGAUGCUUCGUACCAAAUAUUUUUUGGUCAAAGUAGGCCCACCAACAACUCUCUCUGAGUGCAAUGCGCUAUUGUGGCGCCUCAAGCAGGUGGUAUUGGAGGAUAACACCGAGAAUGCGUUUGGAGGUUGCGGCCGAUGUGUGAUCAGUUUCAGUAAUAUCUCCCUUUUAUAUACGUGAAAACUAUUUUUAGUGUGAAAAAUAUGUAUGAAAGAUGAUUAGUACCAAAGCUAUAUGUAUGAUCGCGAUAUGCAUUUACACCUUUUGCCAGCAACAUUUGUAUAUGUUGCAUUGCUUAGUAUUUUUGAACUAUCUUAUGUGGUGGGAUUUUUUUGAACACAUGGAAGACUCGCAUUUCAUGUUCUUAGGAAACACUCAUUGCACCUUUUGGAUAACCUAUGUAUUAGGAAAUUCGA